GAGCUAAAACAGAAAAAGAAGAAGCAGAAAAAAAUAUCACACUUUUUUUUUUAGCUUUUUUUGUCAUGUUCUGUCAAGAUUUUGUGAACACAGUUCUCGAAAUUUG
rnacentral:ribozyme from 13 species